rnacentral:rRNA from 1 species
AGGAUGAACGCUGGCGGUCUGCUUAACACAUGCAAGUCGAACGGAGUAGCAAUACUUAGUGGCGGACGGGUGAGUAACGCGUGAGAAUCUACCUUCAGGACGGAGACAACAGUUGGAAACGACUGCUAACCCCCGAUGUACUGAAAAGGCAAAUAUUUAUAGCCUGAAGAAGAGCUCGCGUCCGAUUAGCUAGUUGGAGAGGUAAAAGCUCACCAAGGCGACGAUCGGUAGCUGGUCUGAGAGGACGAUCAGCCACACUGGGACUGAGACACGGCCCAGACUCCUACGGGAGGCAGCAGUGGGGAAUUUUCCGCAAUGGGCGAAAGCCUGACGGAGCAAGACCGCGUGGGGGAAGAAGGCUCUUGGGUUGUAAAACCCCCUUUUCUCUGGGAAGAACACAAUGACGGUACCAGAGGAAUCAGCAUCGGCUAACUCCGUGCCAGCAGCCGC